UUACGGUCAUAUCAGGUUGAAACACCGCUUCUCGUACGGCCACCUAAGUUAAGCAACGUUGAACCUGGUUUGUACUUAGAUGGGUGACCGCGAAUAGCAGCUGAUGUAA